rnacentral:ncRNA from 1 species
GGAUCUUGGACAAUGAGGCAUCACAAAAAAUAUGGAGGCUGUCCAUAGCAUUCUCUAUAGAAUAAAAAAAAAAUCUAGAAGCAUUCCAUAAUGUUCUUCAUAAAAGUCUAGUCCUUAUGCAUAAUAUAAAAGAGUUGUAUGUAGAAUGUUGAUUAACCAACUAUCCAGCUCCAUGUUCUGGGAGAUAAAUACCUUUGAUAAGAUCUUGACCAACCCAACGAUAAAUGAGAUAAUAUAGGGCCUUUACUGCCAUUUAAAAAAAAUACUUUUGUUGGAUGGACCCUAAGUGUCCCAUAUCCUAUGAUUCACACUUGUUGAUAGGCAGGAAGACUGAGGCUUUGUAGAGUGUCUCAGAAGCAUAGAGGAAAAAUUUCCUGAAGUCCAUGGCCUUGAUCAUGCCUAUAUUUGAGGGUCAUUCGAUCAUGUCAUAAUAUUUCCUAAAAAUCAAUCUCAAUGAAGAGGGUGUUGAAAUCAAGGAAACAUUUGAGGGCAUUCCAUAACUCUUUUCCCUUCAAGCAAUAUCACAGACAACCUUCCAUCCAAAGUCAACAAAAUUGAAACCCAUUUUUGAGAGUUGUUGGUGCCUCAUCCUAUAACUGACGACAACAUUAGGAAAUCUAGAGACGUCGUUGGGGGCCCCGUGAAGACUUAUAUUUUAUUUUUAACAGCUUGCCCACCUUGAAAUUGGCUCAACCGGAUAUAGGGUCCAACAGCUGGAAGAACAUUGCACGUCUUGCGGUGUCCGGUGUGCCCUCAGGUGCCCUUGAAAAUUUGGAGGACUGAGUACCAUCCAUGCCCGGUCAUACUCAUAAUCGCAUCAGGUCUCCAAGGUGAACAACCUCUGGUCAAUAGAACAAUGUAGGUAAGGGAAGUUGGCAAAAUAGAUCUGUAACUUCGGGAAAAGGAUUGGCUCUGAGGGAUGGGCCUAGGGGUUUGCGUCCUCAACCCAUGGGAUUUUGGCAGUCUACCUGUGGGAUUGCCAUUGAUUAAUGCUACCUCCUUUUGAAUGGUAGUGAAACUAAUUAAUGCUACCUCUUUUUGAAUGGUAUAGCACCACCUAUCAUUAAUGAUCCACCACAUAGUAGUCAAGAAUCCCAUCCAUUGCUAAUUGUUGGGCUCUAAAGAUGUCCUAAAAAAAACCUUAGUUUAACAUUAAUUUAUCAACUCGAGGAUUCAUCUUCUAUUUCAAGAAUAUCAACAAAGUCUAUGCAGAUAGCUCAUAGAGGAUAAAAUCACGUAUCAAAUCUGAGUUUAUCAACAAUCAAGUUCCUCACACAUUCAUUAAGUUUCUAAAGCUAAGAUCCUACUGAACAUGAUUGAAAUCUGAUCUAUAAUGUGCUAUGAA